AUACGGAAGGUCCGGGCGUUAUCCGGAUUUAUUGGGUUUAAAGGGAGCGCAGGCGGAGAUGCAAGCGUGACGUCAAAUUUCGGGGCUCAACCCCGUCUCGCGUCGCGAACUGCGUCCCUUGGUUGCGGGAAGGGGAGGCGGAACUCGUGGUGUAGCUGUGAAAUGCAUAGAUAUCACGAAGAACUCCGAUCGCGAAGGCAGCCUUCCGGCCCGUCAACGACGCUCAUGCUCGAAGGUGCGGGUAUCAAACAGGAUUAGAUACCCUGGUAGUCCGCACAGUAAACGAUGGACACCCGCGGUUUGGCCUGUAUGGCUGAGCCGCCAAGCGAAAGCGUUAAGUGUCCCACCUGGGGAGUACGCCGGCAACGGUGAAACUCAAAGGAAUUGACGGGG
rnacentral:rRNA from 1 species